rnacentral:lncRNA from 1 species
GUGUGUGUGUGCAAUUUGCAGAAUGCUCCACUACAGUGGGGAGGCAUAGACUGUGGCCUCUUCAUUUUGAUGUAUGCACUCUAUGUAGUGAUGGAGUUGCCAUUUGACUUCACACAGACUGACAUGCCUGAUGUUAGGAGAUGGUGGUGCCUACAGCUUCUGGAGACAUUUCCUGUAGGAAGUAAAGUGGCAGCUGCCUCCAUGGAAGACGUGAAGUCUAGACAAACACCAGCCCAGCAAAACAGCAGCCCACCAGAGAGUUUUGAAGAUUCUCCAAUGAUGAAGAAUAUUGUGGCUGCAGCGGAAUGGGUGAAGACCAAUAGCCACUCACUGAAGGGAAGGGUUCUUCUUCCAAAAGUUCUGGACAUGGAGAAGGAAGAUGCUUUGUUGGCCCUUGCCACCUACCAAUUGUUCCAAGAUGAAUGUUCAGACCUAGAGGAGAUAUGGCAACCUUUUGUUUUUAUGUUUGAGUUACAAGAUGACAUGGAACUUUUUUUAUCUGAAGUAAGAGAUAAAAUAAAUAUUCGUGUGUCAGCAGUGAUUGACCUCAGCUUGUAAUAUUCAAGUUAGGCUGUUGUUGGAGAUACAAAAUGCCAAAAUGGUGUUAAGCUGGACAAAUACAGUUAGCCAUAGUGUUGUGCUGGAAGUCUUUUUUUUUUUUU